rnacentral:lncRNA from 1 species
AAUGAAUCAACAAAACAACAAACCGAUCGCUAUUGUAGAACCUUAUAAUCCUGAGGAUGACCUGCCUGAAGAGGAGAGGAGAAAAAUAGAAGAACAAAGAGAAGUUAGAGAAAGAAUUCAGAAUUUAUUUUUUCGGCCAAUUGCUCCACCACCAGAAGCAAUUGUAGAAGAUGAAGAUGAUGAUGAUG